rnacentral:rRNA from 1 species
CAGUCGCCACGGUAAUACGAAGGGUGCAAGCGUUACUCGGAAUUACUGGGCGUAAAGCGUGCGUAGGCGGUUUGUUAAGUCCGUUGUGAAAGCCCUGGGCUCAACCUGGGAAUUGCAGUGGAUACUGGCAAGCUGGAGUACGGUAGAGGAUGGUGGAAUUCCCGGUGUAGCGGUGAAAUGCGUAGAGAUCGGGAGGAACACCCGUGGCGAAGGCGGCCAUCUGGACCAGUACUGACGCUGAGGCGCGAAAGCGUGGGGAGCAAACAGGAUUAGAUACCCCAGUAGUCCCUGUCUCUUAUAC